rnacentral:rRNA from 1 species
UACGGGGGGGGCAAGCGUUGUUCGGAAUUACUGGGCGUAAAGGGCUCGUAGGCGGCCAACUAAGUCAGACGUGAAAUCCCUCAGCUCAACUGGGGAACUGCGUCUGAGACUGGCCGGCUUGAGUGCAGGAGAGGAACGCGGAAUUCCAGGUGUAGCGGUGAAAUGCGUAGAUAUCUGGAGGAACACCGGUGGCGAAGGCGGCGUUCUGGACUGCAACUGACACUGAGGAACGAAAGCCAGGGGAGCAAACGGG